CGACACUAUGUCGACGACGGCGA
rnacentral:snRNA from 1 species